GGCAUGACGAAAUGUUAAUCUUAGUUUCCCAGAUUGUUUUUGCUAACUGUGCGGUAAACGAGGUAGAAACUGCAUGAGUUUUUGUUGAAUCUAUAAGAGUGAGGUAGCUAAGAACUUAUGAAUCUUAAUCAACAGCAAGCAUGUAUUUUUGAUACUGAACAAGAGUGAUCAUCUGAUGUCGAGUCCAGUCUGCCACUGAGAGAUAGGGUAAGGGCCCACGUUUGAUUUUGGUGUUUAAGCCCCAAAAUAUGUCUAUAGAGAGCGUUAUCGGCAGAUCAAAGUCAGCUCAGCUCAUUCCCACUCACGCACUGAUUAAUUGACAGCACCUACAACUGAUAUGUUGUUUCACGACAUCGAGACAACAAAGGCAUCUGAGAUAACAAAGGUAUUUUCGCUGUUCUUAUGAAAACUUAGCUGUUUUUAUUACUCGGGCUUCUGUAGGAAAGUUCGAGUCUUAAAAUGCAAGCCGUUCUUGGUCGUCAAAAGGGGGUUCAUGGUCCCAGGCGUUCCUUGCGUAAACCGCGGAAACUGGGGAUGAGAGUGCGACAGCUUGUGUUAUCAUGUGCUCGCUCUUCGUAAGCAACAUAAUUUACAGAAUACUGUGCUUCGCGAAGACCGCUUUGCAAAGAUUCCUGUCUGAUACGCCCAUCUCAUAUACAAACACACACGUCGUUCGUGGUAGGCCCAGCUAAAGGAUGUCGAGCGUUUUCAGAAUGGCUUGGUCCACGAGCUCUCUAGCUUGAAAGCUAGCCAAAUGUGGAAAGUUCAUACUAGUUCUCACGAGAUAACAAAUGAGACUUCAAACUACGAAAAUACUGGCAAAACUGUGACAGCCGAUUUAACAACAAACUAUAAUGCUGAGAUGAACACCUCACUUGCUGAAAACAUCAAGAAUGCUCGUUAAAAACUUCGAAGUGGCGCUAACAAAAGCGAAUUGGAUGAGGAUAAUGACAGAAGAAACUUGAAUACUUUAAAUGGACAAGCAAAUACGAUUAAAAAUUGAUGGAGACUUCACAGCCAAGUAAGCAGAAGUGAAGCACUUGACAAGAUGACAAUAAGGACUGUCAAGUGACUGCUGACGCCAGCAUUUUUGUCCUAUACUAUUUGAAAUAUCAAGUAGAUCAAUUUCCGCGCGCUUGUUUUUUUUUUCAGAUUUUUUGCGAUUGUGAGAUUAUUACCAUUAACUCAGCAAAUUGGUCUUAUUUGCAUCUGAAAUUAUGACAUCUUUUUAACCAGUAUCUUAAGCUUGUUGGAGCACACUUGGUAAUGAGAGAGAGCGGUGUAUCUUCUGUCAAAUGUUACUUUGAAUAACAAAUGAUUGUUGAAUAAUAAUUUUUUUACUGGAUUAGGAAAUACAAAUUAGUAAAAAAAAUAAUCGUAUCAUAAUUCUAACUACUUCGUUUGAUGAUAUCGUAAUUGUACUCCCUGGAAUACAUUAAUAAUACAAGUUACAUUUCUUA